GAGAGCGUUGUGGCUGAUGAGAAGCUUUUACCGUGUUUAUCCUGAUGUACGGAACUCGACUCACUGUGCGGUACCUAUGCCCUAAUCUUAUUUCGCACAGUAUUCUUUUGUUUCCCUAAGGAGCGGACUGUACUGAGAGGAAUGGAGAGAAAAGGCAGAAGAUCUUAGUCCUCCGACCUUAUAUUAGCGUAAUCUCGAGGAGCAAUGCGAAGAUGGACACGUUCAGUGGUCCCUGGGCAUGCGCAUUAAGCUGUACGGAGUUCCCGGGCAAGCUGUGUCAUUUCUGCCUUGAUGAUUCACGGCUUGAAGUUUCUCCUGUUCCUUAUUGGGUCAGGGCCCGGGUUCGUGAGUGGGACAAAGAGAAAUCCUUCUAGCAGUGCAACCUUCUACGGCGUCAUCCGCCCAGCAAUCCAUACGUCCUCUAGUUAACGAAACAUCUAUUUACUGAGCACCGUGUGAUGUACCAAACCCCGGAGACCCAGGACACGCACUUGUGUGAAGAGGCCAUCUCAGCAUCCUGCAUCCCAUGGCCUGAAGAUGAGGACUCUUCUCCUGGAUAUUCUCCUUGGAUCAUUCUGUCAUACUUGGACCUAAACUGAGGUGAACAUGGACAAAAUCCAGGCCUUCCUGUAGAACAGCUAAACUACCACCUCAGGGCCCUGCAGUUUGAUUCCAUUAUGGUCAGAUAACAUACUACAUAUGACUUCAAUUCUUUUAACAUUGUUGAAGAUUGUUUUAUGGCCCAAAAGGUGAUUGGGGUUCCCUAUGACUCAGUGCACCUGUUUCUACUUAUCUGCAUCCCCUCUACAUUAAAUUGAGAACUGAGCAUUUGCAAUUGUACAUUAUUAAAUCCUGUACCUUCAGCCUGAAAGAAUAAAACAGUAAAGAAAUAAAAUAAAGAAGACAAAAAAAAUGAAAAGCAGGAGACCCAGGAAAAGCAGUAACAGAGGUAAUAUUUUGCUCUUGGAACCCGGGUCUCCCUGGGGGGCUUUCUAAUCCCUUUGGAGUAGCUACUGUUAUCUGCUAUACUUUCUAUUAUUUGAGACCUGUGAUUUGGAGCUUGUCUUCAGAAACUUCUCCUUAC